CUAGGGAGUCCGAAGGACGACUGUAACAGGUCAACCUUAGGUACUUUACUACCAUGUGUGAACUGUACUUUAGACUGCUGUGUGCCAGUCAGUGGGUGGUACUCGUAGAGGUAGUCUUGAAGAGGGAUCUGCAAAGACCUGCGUCUUGCCUGCCACUGCAAAGUCUGCCCACCCCGGCACACACACCCCAUUACGUAUACCCUGUAUGUCCUAAAACACCCCAGAUAGAGGUAUCAAGCAACCUAGUGUUGAACUUGCA
rnacentral:misc_RNA from 1 species